rnacentral:rRNA from 1 species
GUUUGUUUGGAGUUAUAAAGAAUUUAACCUGCCCCCUGAUUAAUUAUUAUUAAAGGGCCGCAGUAUUAUAACUGUGCAAAGGUAGCAUAAUCAUUAGGUUUUUAAUUGAAAUCUCGUAUGAAUGGUUGGACAAAAGAAAGACUCUCUUUAUAUUAAGUUUUGAAUUUAACUUUUAAGUGAAAAGGCUUAAAUAUUCUAAAGGGACGAUAAGACCCUAUAAAACUUUACAUUGUCAUUAAUUUUGAUUGAAUUUAUAAAAUAAAAAUUUUAUUUGAUUAUUUGUUAUGUUGGGGAGACAUAAGUAAAAUAUUUUUUUAACUGCUUGAUAGUUAUACAAUUAUUAGUGAAUAAGUAGAAGAUCCUUUUUAAGAUUAGUAGAUUAAGUUACUUUAGGGAUAACAGUGUAAUUUCUUUUGAGAGUUCUUAUCGAAAAAGAAGGUUGCAACCUCGAUGUUGAAUUAAAAUAUCUAUAUAAUGGAGAGGUUAUAUAAGAAGGUCUGUUCGACCUUAAAAAUUUUACAUGAUUUGAGUUCAAACCGGUGUGAG